GCCAGAGCGGCAUAGUGGUUUGAAUAUUGGACUACAACUCUGGAGAGCAGGGUUCGAUUCCCCGCUCAGCCA
rnacentral:tRNA from 1 species